rnacentral:rRNA from 1 species
UGGGGAAUUUUGGACAAUGGGCGAAAGCCUGAUCCAGCAAUGCCGCGUGUGUGAAGAAGGCCUUCGGGUUGUAAAGCACUUUUGUCCGGAAAGAAAUCCUUGGCUCUAAUACAGUCGGGGGAUGACGGUACCGGAAGAAUAAGCACCGGCUAACUACGUGCCAGCAGCCGCGGUAAUACGUAGGGUGCAAGCGUUAAUCGGAAUUACUGGGCGUAAAGCGUGCGCAGGCGGUUUGCUAAGACCGAUGUGAAAUCCCCGGGCUCAACCUGGGAACUGCAUUGGUGACUGGCAGGCUAGAGUAUGGCAGAGGGGGGUAGAAUUCCACGUGUAGCAGUGAAAUGCGUAGAGAUGUGGAGGAAUACCGAUGGCGAAAGGCAGCCCCCUGGGCCAAUACUGACGCUCAUGCACGAAAAGCGUGGGGAGCAAAACAGGAUUAGAUACCCUGGUAGUCCACGCCCUAAAACGAUGUCAACUAGUUGUUGGGGAUUCAUUUCCUUAGUAACGUAGCUAACGCGUGAAGUUGACCGCCUGGGGAGUACGGUCGCAAGAUUAAAACUCAAAUGAAUUGACGGGGUCAUAGCU